rnacentral:rRNA from 1 species
UAAUACAGAGGUGGCAAGUGUUGUUCGGAUUUACUGGGCGUAAAGGGUCCGCAGGCGGUCCUGUGUGUCAGAUGUGAAAGCCCACGGCUUAACCGUGGAAAUGCAUUUGAAACUACAGGACUAGAGUACAGGAGGGGAGAGGGGAAUUCAUGGUGUAGCGGUGAAAUGCGUAGAUAUCAUGAAGAACACCGGUGGCGAAGGCGCCUCUCUGGACUGAUACUGACGCUCAUGGACGAAAGCUAGGGGAGCGAAGAGGAUUAGAUACCCUCGUAGUCCUAGCCGUAAACGGUGUGCACUUGAUGUUGGAGGUUUACCCCCUUCAGUGUCGGAGCUAACGCGUUAAGUGCACCGCCUGGGAAGUACGGCCGCAAGGUUA